GUCGGCUUUUCAAUUGCUUCAAUCAAAUCUCCAAAAGUUGAAACAAACCUGACCUUCUUCUUCCUCAAACUCUUCAUGCUUUCCAUAACCCACAACCACAACUGCAAUUUUGCUUCUCCCACCGAUUUCACUUCCGAAAAAGCUCGCCUGCUAUGCUCCAAGACUUUACCCUUCUCGUCUUUUACAAUCCAAGAGGCUCCCAUGUUCUUACCUCGGCUUGACUAGUCCAUAUCAAACUCACAUUGAACCCAACCAACCGAAACAUUUUGUUCAAAGCUUGGCACUUCAGCACAGCUCACAUUCGCCUCUCUUAACUCCAUUCCAAUCUGAACCUGUUGGGCUAAAAACCAAGAAUCUGCCUCUUCUUUUGCUUUCCUCACUAUUUCAUCUGCCUCAAAAAAUUUCCCUUCAAAC
rnacentral:lncRNA from 1 species